rnacentral:rRNA from 1 species
UUAGGGAUAACAGCGUAAUUUUUUUAGAGAGUUCAUAUCGAUAAAAAAGAUUGCGACCUCGAUGUUGGAUUAAGAGUUAUUUUUAGGUGUAGAAGUUUAAAGUUUAGGUCUGUUCGACCUUUGAAUUCUUACAUGAUCUGAGUUCAAACCGGCGUAAGCCAGGUUGGUUUCUAUCCUUAAUUAAUUAUUAUAUUGUAGUACGAAAGGACCUAAUAUAAAAAAUAUAAUUUUAAUUUAUUUGAAAAUUAAUAAUUUUGUUU